UAACCGUAAGUGAACCUGCGGAAGGAUCAUUAUUGAGUACCUUUUAAAGGGGAGUGGUUUGGCUAUAAUUAACCUUUCCCUCUCCUUUUUAUCCACUCUUAUCUCUCUUGUUAUUUUAUGUCCUAGUUGCUUUGGCAGGUUUUGCAUGUGUGUAUAUACAUUCAAACCUGCCAAGGGCCACAUAUAAUUGACACUUUUGUUUUUAACAAUUGGAACUAUCUAAGUCGGAUAAAUUAUUUCUUGAAUAAGAACUAAAACUUUCAACAACGGAUCUCUUGGUUCUG
rnacentral:misc_RNA from 1 species